rnacentral:rRNA from 1 species
GAUGAACGCUAGCGACAGGCUUAACACAUGCAAGUCGAGGGGCAGCACAGGUAGCAAUACCGGGUGGCGACCGGCGCACGGGUGAGUAACGCGUAUGCAACUUACCUAUCAGAGGGGGAUAACCCGGCGAAAGUCGGACUAAUACCGCAUGAAGCAGGGGUCCCGCAUGGGGAUAUUUGCUAAAGAUUCAUCGCUGAUAGAUAGGCAUGCGUUCCAUUAGGCAGUUGGCGGGGUAACGGCCCACCAAACCGACGAUGGAUAGGGGUUCUGAGAGGAAGGUCCCCCACAUUGGUACUGAGACACGGACCAAACUCCUACGGGAGGCAGCAGUGAGGAAUAUUGAUCAAUGGCCGAGAGGCUGAACCAGCCAAGUCGCGUGAGGGAUGAAGGUCCUAUGGAUCGUAAACCUCUUUUAUAAGGGAAUAAAGUGCGGGACGUGUCCCGUUUUGUAUGUACCUUAUGAAUAAGGAUCGGCUAACUCCGUG